UACGGAGGGUGCGAGCGUUGUCCGGAAUUACUGGGCGUAAAGGGCGCGUAGGCGGGAUGGCAAGUCGGUCGUGAAAUCCCUCGGCUCAACCGAGGAACGUCGAUCGAUACUGCUGUUCUUGAGGAUUGCAGAGGAGACUGGAAUUCCUGGUGUAGCGGUGAAAUGCGCAGAUAUCAGGAGGAACACCGAUGGCGAAGGCAGGUCUCUGGGCAUUAACUGACGCUGGAGGAGCGAAAGCAUGGGGAGCGAACAG
rnacentral:rRNA from 1 species